AGGACGAACGCUGGCGGCGUGCUUAACACAUGCAAGUCGAGCGGAAAGGCCCUUCGGGGUACUCGAGCGGCGAACGGGUGAGUAACACGUGAGUAAUCUGCCCCUAGCUCUGGGAUAGCUCCGGGAAACCGGGAUUAAUACCGGAUACGACCACCUUAGACAUCUUUUGUGGUGGAAAGAAUUUCGGCUAGGGAUGAGCUCGCGGCCUAUCAGCUUGUUGGUGGGGUAACGGCCUACCAAGGCGACGACGGGUAGCCGGCCUGAGAGGGCGACCGGCCACACUGGGACUGAGACACGGCCCAGACUCCUACGGGAGGCAGCAGUGGGGAAUAUUGCGCAAUGGGCGAAAGCCUGACGCAGCGACGCCGCGUGGGGAUGAAGGCCUUCGGGUUGUAACCCCUUUCAGCAGGGACGAAGCGAAAGUGACGGUACCUGCAGAAGAAGCGCCGGCUAACACGUGCCAGCAGCGC
rnacentral:rRNA from 1 species